GCCUUCGUGGCGCAGUUGGUAGCGCAGUAGUCUCAUAUUGGGUCCGUCGUGGGUUUAAGCACGGGGCGUUGCCGGGACGACGACUAAGACCAUGGUUUAAUCUAAAGGUCGUGAGUUCGAGUCUCACCGAGGGCA
rnacentral:tRNA from 1 species